ACAACCGUCAAGCGCCGCUUGGUGUUGGGCGCUUUGUCCCGCCUCCGGGCGCGGACUCGCCUCAAAUGCAUUGGCGGCCCGCGCGAUCGGUCCGAGCGCAGCAGACGCGCGCCUCGCACGACCUUUCCGCGCGGGUGUCCAAGAAGACACACCCCCCAA
rnacentral:misc_RNA from 1 species